UUACAAACAACUAUUUUCUUCUGCUACAUUUUAUAUAAUAUGCUAUUUUGCAUAAUUUCCUAUUUUCAUUGGCAUGUAGAGAAGUGAGUUAUCUGAUGAAAGAGAAUUGUAUAUAAGUUUGCUAUUCAACAUGUGGUGUCAGAGUAGCAGCAUCAACAUUACCUAGUGACUACCUGAAAACACAGAUCUCAGGCUCCUUCCUAGACCUACUGAAUAGAAGUCUACAUUUUAAAAGAAUAUGAACAGAGAACAACGUCCUGCCCCAGCUGAUGUGAGCCGUCAAUGGAAGCAAAGGGGAGAAAGCUGACAAUGAAGAAAGCAGAGCAGUAGAAAGAAUGAAACUGGGUUCUUGGAUGUCACCAGUUCUGGAUCAUCCUGAUGCUGCGACUCUGCAUUGCAAGACAUGCUAAGCAGCAGUUUUUCUCCAAUAAGAUUGUUGCAGUUGGUGAUGACAUUCCCAAGUACACCUUGUGCUGUGAUUAAGGAACAGAGAUAUGCAAGACUUCAGUUCCUGCCAAACACUCUCAUAGAUCACAGCUGAAAAUACCUUUGUCCCAAGGCAGUUGUCAGCCUGAAAAUUAUCACCCAAAGCAGAGAACAGUAGUUUGGAUUAAUGACAAAAUGAUUGAUCGAGGCUAGUGAAAUGCAUACUUGGUCAUAUUUAAAAGAAAAUACACGAAUAAACUUUACUCGACUGGACAAAAUGUAAGUGAAGCAGACAGCUGAGACCAUAACCCAUCACGAACAGGUUAAAGAUAAACAAAUAAAAGCAGAAGUGACUUGUGUUUCGAAUGGAGCUCUUGGACCUAUCAACAUAACCUUGGGACCAGAAAAUUUCAGAAUGUCAGAUUACAGGAGAGAAAUUUGGAUCUUUAAAAUUGAAAUGUAAUAAGCUUUCAAUAAUCAAGUAAACAGAUGUCAAAUCUAAGCAGUGAUGCACAUAUGAGUCAGAAUGCAAUCUGCAUAGAGGAGAAGCAUAAUAACUUGAAAAGGCAAGGUUUGAGAAACUUUGGAAGAUAUAUAUGUAAGCCCUAGAUAACUUUAUCAUUUAAGAAAGACUUGAAUCUCAUCCUUCCCAGUUUGUUUCUUAUGGCCAAUUCUAAUACAUGGAACCAUAAUUUCAGUAUCUGAUACCCAGGUCUAUUCAUUCUCCUCCUCUGUCAUUCUUUACCUAGAGUAGGCAUUCCCGCUUUGCCCCUUAAGUUUUAGACUGUGAUUGCAAUGGAUCAGGUAAGGAAAGAAGUGAUUGAGUGAAUGUGGGUUGCAGUAUCAUGUUAUUACCUCCAAAGAUACCUUCAUAGUAUUUUUUUCAGUUAAAAAAAUUGCAUGCAAUAUAAUCUACUUUUUUUAGUGUAUAGUUUUUUCUUUGUUUAGAAAAAAAAAGACACUUAUUGGUGUCAAAAAACAACCAAAAAGAUAUUUCAUCACCUUCCAAAAACAGUCUCUAAUGCUACCCCUUUUUAGUCAACUACUCCCCUCCACAUCUAACCAAGCAGCCACUGAUUAUUUUCUGUUUUUUGAUUCUGCCUCUCCACAAUUUCAUUUUUUUCUCCAAAAUUUCAUAUAAAUGAAAGCAUAUAGCAUGCAUCCCACUGAAUUUGGCUUAUUUUACUUAGCAAAAUAUGAUUGAGAUCCACCUAUGCUAUUGCAUACAUCAAUGGUUUAUUCUUUUUGAUUGCUAUGUAAUAUAUCAAACAGUUCAAAUGUAUUUUAUUUUAUUGAUAUACCUCAUUUUGUUUAUUCCCUAGUGAGUGACAUUUGGCUUAUUUCCAGUUUGGGGUCAUUUUGAAUAGAAUAUCUAUACACAUAUAAACUUUCACGUCCACGUUUUUGGGUGAACAUAACUUUUCAAUUCUAUUAAGUAAAUACCUCUAAAUAGGAUUGCUUGGAAGUGUGGUAAGCAUAUGGUUAACUGCAUAAGAAACUACCAAACUGUUUUUCAGGAUACCUGUAUGAUUUUUUAAUUCCCUGCAUCAACAUACAUAUCCUUGUCAACACUUGUUUAUCCAGUUUUUUUCUUUUGUUUUGUUUUAUUAACCACUCUAUUAGGUAUGUAGUGAUAUAUAUUCAUAUGCUUAUUCGCUAUCUGUAUGGUCAUAUAGUCAAAUCUUUGGCUCAUUUUUACUAGAUUGUUUGUUUUCUUGUUGAGCUUUGUGGGUUCCUUAUAUAUUCUGCAUACAAAUAUCUGUUGAGAUUUUUGACUUGCCAAUAUUUCCCAAAGUCUGUUACAUGUCUUUGUCUUUCACUUUUCUUAACGGUGUCUCUUAAAAAUUAGAAGCUUUUGAUUUUGAUAAAGUUCAAUUUAUCAAUUUUUUUUUUAAUUUAGUGGAUUUUGUUGUUUUAUCUAAGAACUUUUUGCCUAAGUCAAGGUCACAAAGAUUUUUUCUAUGUAUUCUCCCAGGUGUUUUUUAGUUUUUCG
rnacentral:lncRNA from 10 species